rnacentral:ncRNA from 1 species
AAAAAGACAAUGAAUGAGAAAGUAGAUAUAAAGGACUUUACAGGGAGAAAUAGUCUAAGACUGGAAGCUAUUUUAAAGAAGUUUAUAUUGAAGUUCCCUCAGGAGUCCUAGAAGUGAAGUUAACAGUAGUUUCUAGCGGGUUUAACCGUUAUUUAAAUUUGAGUUGGGUUAUAAAAUUAUAAAAUUUUAUAACCAAUUAGGGUGGUAACGCGGCACUUCGUCCCUUUU